rnacentral:rRNA from 1 species
UACGGGGGGGGCAAGCGUUGUUCGGAAUUACUGGGCGUAAAGGGCGCGUAGGCGGCGAUGUUAGUCAGGCGUGAAAGCCCUGGGCUCAACCUGGGGACUGCGCUUGAUACGGCAUGGCUAGAGUAUUGUAGGGGGUAGUGGAAUUUCCGGUGUAGCGGUGAAAUGCGUAGAGAUCGGAAGGAACACCAGUGGCGAAGGCGGCUACCUGGACAAAUACUGACGCUGAUGCGCGAAAGCGUGGGGAUCAAACAGG